GAAGCCUUCUGGAGCUGCUGGGUGAUGCAGAUGGACAGGUGGUCAGCACGUCCCUCUCUCUGUUGAAGAAGAUGCUCCAUAAAAAACAUCUCAUGAUAUCCAGCACUUCUGCCCCAAAGCUAGCUGAGGCACUCCUGCCACUCUUUGACUGUGACAACAGCCAUCUGCAGCUGCUCUCCAUUUCCCUCUUCUGCAAGGUGAUGGAAUUGGUAGUGGAAGAGGGUAAAAAGCCCCUGAAGAGAAUUGUGAGCUGGAGCCUGCUCCCACUCUUCUUGCACUGUCAUGAUGAGAACUGGGACGUGGCAGAGGCAGGUUUCCUCGGCGCCAUUUUAGAGAGCAGUGGAGGCAGCACUUGACGGAGGUAACAAGGGUGGGUGUGAACUGCAGGGACUAACAGGUUCAACCUUGUAACAACAACUCUGCUUAUUACAACUUCAAAUCAACAGUAACAUUAGAGGUUUUACAUCUUAACAACAACAUAAUUAACACACUUAACUUAUUGAAACUUCACAUUUAACAGUAACACUUUCAAUGGCCUUAACUUAUAGGAUUGUCCAUUACAAGAGGGUUCUGAAGACAGAGCAGCCAUUGAAAAUUGAUGAGUGCCUGCUGGCAGAGGACACGAACCGAAC